rnacentral:rRNA from 1 species
AUGAAUAGUCUAGAGGUUUGGAGGGGUUCUAGAAUAAUCUGUUUCCCGGAGAAAAGGAGAAACAUCUGGACUAUUAGUGUUUUGGAGGUUGGUUGGGCACAAUACGUCUCAGUCUCAAUCUCAACCUUAUAUUUCAGAUCGGACGGUAUAUAUAGCCUGAAGGCAGACACACCAUCAUCAUCAACUCGUAUUUUUAUAGGAGUAAAGAUUCAUAAAAUAUUAACAUGCACAAACAAUUUAUUAUUUUCAAGUAGGAAACCAUGGCUACUGCAAGACCAUUAUGCAAGUGGCUGUCGUGGCUUGCUUGGGAAUGAAGAGCUCACCGGGAAGAAGUGCACAAGGAUCGCGGAAAGAUUUGCCGGAAACAGUUCUCUCUCGGAGGGGCUAGAUAAGGGCAAGGGUAAUAUGGUCAUUUCCAGUAUGUGA